AGUGAACGCUGGCGGUAGGCCUAACACAUGCAAGUCGAACGGCAGCACAGUAAGACCUUGCUCUUACGGGUGGCGAGUGGCGGACGGGUUAGGAAUACAUCGGAAUCUACUUUUUCGUGGGGGAUAACGGAGGGAAACUUACGCUAAUACCGCAUACGACCUACGGGUUAAAGCAGGGGAUGUUCGGGCCUUCCGCGAGUGAAUGAGCCGGUGUCUGAUUAGCUAGUUGGCGGGGCAAUGGCCCACCAAGGCGAGGAUCCGUAGCUGGUCCGAGUGGAUGAGCGGCCAAGCUGGGACGGAGACACGGCCCAGACUCCGACGGGAGGCAGCAGUGGGGAAUUUUCCGCAAUGGGAGAAAGCCUGACGGAGCAAUGCCGCGGGGAGGUAGAAGGCCCACGGGUCAAGAACUUCUUUUCCCGGAGAAGAAGCAAUGACGGUAGCUGGGGAAUAAGCAUCGGCUAACUCUGUG
rnacentral:rRNA from 1 species